CCUACGGGAUGCAGCAGUAGGGAAUCUUCCACAAUGGGCGAAAGCCUGAUGGAGCAACGCCGCGUGGGUGAAGAAGGUCUUCGGAUCGUAAAACCCUGUUGUUAGAGAAGAAAGUGCGUGAGAGUAACUGUUCACGUUUCGACGGUAUCUAACCAGAAAGCCACGGCUAACUACGUGCCAGCAGCCGCGGUAAUACGUAGGUGGCAAGCGUUAUCCGGAUUUAUUGGGCGUAAAGGGAACGCAGGCGGUCUUUUAAGUCUGAUGUGAAAGCCUUCGGCUUAACCGGAGUAGUGCAUUGGAAACUGGGAGACUGGAGUGCAGAAGAGGAGAGUGGAACUCCAUGUGUAGCGGUGAAAUGCGUAGAUAUAUGGAAGAACACCAGUGGCGAAAGCGGCUCUCUGGUCUGUAACUGACGCUGAGGUUCGAAAGCGUGGGUAGCAAACAGGAUUAGAUACCCCAGUAGUC
rnacentral:rRNA from 1 species